ensembl:lncRNA
CAAAAGGCCAAAGUGGGAGGCGGCGCCGCGCGCGCGGAGCCCCGGCGGCCGGGGGGCGCCCGUGCGCGGGCCGGGCCGGGCGGCUCCCCACCCCGGGGCUGGAGCAGCCGCGGCGAACCCCAUGGCACCGCCGGGGGAGCGGAGGGCCGCGCCCGGGCGGGGAGGCUUCGGGGCGGCGCGGAAAUCCGGUGAAGUCCUACAAGACAACGGAGCUCGUGGAUUGGUGCUCACUCCCCAUCCUGUGUCACACCACCUCCCUGCGUUCCCGGGACAGUUCUCAACCUCCCACUCCUGGCCGCUCACACCGAGGGCCUCUGCUCUCCAUCUCCUGUGACUCUGCACCCCUGUACCCAGUGGGGAGAUCCUGGGCACGAGUGCAGGGGGGAUGGGCAUGCCAUGUGUAUCAGGGCAAAGCAGUGGCCAUCCCAGCACCAGGCUGGCAGCACCUGGACACAUUCAGAGAGCAACUUGGCAGCUGUGUGAGCCUCUUGCCCUUCCCUGUCCAGGUACUUAGUGCGUCAUGGCACAGAAGUAACCAUAUUCUAGUUAUGCAGGCGGUUGACCUGUGGCUGGGUUGGGUCUGAGGCCUCAAGGGAAGGGGACCUGCCUGGCUUGAGAUCCAGGGGUGCUGGCCACUGGUUGGCAGGAGUAUAACCUGGCUGCUCUUUGCCUUGUCAUCUGUAUGGUCUGACUCCCUCUGUGUGUAUCCCUGUGCCCAAGAGACUGUGACAGUAAGCAGGAAAUAAAGACCACAAGUUAAGAGAGACACCAUGGAAGAAAGGAAAGAGUUCUCCCUGCAUGUUGAACCGGGGACCUGCCUUUUCAUUUUUCAGUGAGCCCUGUAAAUUAUGUGCCAAGCCUGCCUGCUCUGACUUUAUCCUUAUGUCAGGCAGUGAUUCCAGCACUCUGAUCAUCCAAGCCAGAAUUCUGGGAAUCAUCACUGACUUUUCCCCUUUUCCUGUCCCCCUAGGUAUUUCUAGUGUCUUCAUUUCCAAAUGCCACUGACUUAGUUCAGAUAAGUAAAAGAAAUUUGGAAUGAUCCUGGUUUUGAUUAAGCCACCUGUGAUA